rnacentral:rRNA from 1 species
GACGAACGGCUGGCGGCGUGGAUUAGGCAUGCAAGUCGAACGGUAGGAUACCUUCGGGUAUCUGAGAGUGGCGAACGGGUGAGUAACACGUAGGUGAUCUACCCUCAAGAUUGGGACAACCCAGGGAAACUUGGGCUAAUACCGGAUGAAAGCAGCAGUGAUGUUGUUUGAAAGGUGGCGUAAGCUGCCGUUUGGGGAUGAGCCUGCGCUCUAUUAGUUAGUUGGCGGGGUAAAGGCCCACCAAGGCGAUGAUAGAUAGGCGGCCUUAACGGGUGGUCGCCCACACUGGGAUUGAGAUACGGCCCAGACUCCUACGGGAGGCAGCAGUCGAGAAUAGUCUACAAUGGCCGAAAGGCUGAUAGUGCGACGCCGCGUGAACGAAGAAGCCCUUCGGGGUGUAAAGUUCUUUUAUAUGUGAGCAGUGCUUUCUAUGUGAACAGCAUGGGGAGAGAGAUAUUAGCAUAUGAAUAAGCAACGGCUAACUCCGUG